AAUUUAGUAAGUUAAAUAAACUAUUGAAUUGUGGUUUCAAAAACAUCAUAAGAUCUAAAUUC
rnacentral:tRNA from 1 species